UACUCCUACGGGAGGCAGCAGUAGGGAAUCUUCCGCAAUGGACGCAAGUCUGACGGAGCAACGCCGCGUGAGUGAAGAAGGUUUUCGGAUCGUAAAACUCUGUUGUUAGAGAAGAACAAGUGCUAGAGUAACUGUUAGCGCCUUGACGGUAUCUAACCAGAAAGCCACGGCUAACUACGUGCCAGCAGCCGCGGUAAUACGUAGGUGGCAAGCGUUGUCCGGAUUUAUUGGGCGUAAAGCGAGCGCAGGCGGUUCCUUAAGUCUGAUGUGAAAGCCCCCGGCUCAACCGGGGAGGGUCAUUGGAAACUGGGGAACUUGAGUGCAGAAGAGGAGAGUGGAAUUCCAUGUGUAGCGGUGAAAUGCGUAGAUAUAUGGAGGAACACCAGUGGCGAAGGCGACUCUCUGGUCUGUAACUGACGCUGAGGCUCGAAAGCGUGGGUAGCAAACAGGAUUAGAUACCCUGGUAGUCCACGCCGUAAACGAUGAGUGCUAAGUGUUGGAGGGUUUCCGCCCUUCAGUGCUGCAGUUAACGCAUUAAGCACUCCGCCUGGGGAGUACGACCGCAAGGUUGAAACUCAAAUGAAUUGACGGA
rnacentral:rRNA from 1 species